rnacentral:lncRNA from 1 species
UAGAAUCGUUGGCACAGGACAGAACAUUUUGGCAAAUCAAAUUUGACAACAAGAAUCCACUGGGAGAAACUAGAAGAACUAGGAAGUCAUAAAAAGAACCUCUGGAUACCUGGAAAAAAGAACUUCUUACCUGAAUAUCCCGAAAUUGAGCCUCUUCAAUAGUUAACUUAGAGGCCACUUCCGCUACUUGCUUGUAUUUUUCUUCAUACUU